rnacentral:snoRNA from 2 species
GAGAUAGCAAUAAUUAUAAAAAUAAUUUAUCGUUCUGAUUUGCUUAAUUUGGGCAUGAGAAACCUUUUAUUACACUCAUAGAAUAUGAGCUACUC